rnacentral:lncRNA from 1 species
AAUUCAGUGAGUUUUAAUCCUAAGUUUACUCUGAAGUUGCUUGUACCACAUUGACAAUAGCUUGACUUCGUUGAAUGAAAGUCAUAAGUUGGUAGAGUUGAUCAUUUGUUAAUAAAUUGUGUUAUUAUCCAUUGAGUUCAGUUUGUGCAUCAAUAGAGGAUACUUUGAUUGAUGGUGGGUUGUCUAAUCUUGUUUUGGGUCCUUUG